UACGGAGGGUGCAAGCGUUAUCCGGAUUCACUGGGUUUAAAGGGUGCGUAGGUGGGCUGUAAGUCAGUGGUGAAAUCCCGUGCGUUAACUUGGGACUGCCGUUGAUACUAUAGAUCUUGAAUAUCGUGGAGGUAAGCGGAAUAUGUCAUGUAGCGGUGAAAUGCUUAGAUAUGACAUAGAACACCAAUUGCGAAGGCAGCUUACUACACGAUCAUUGACACUGAGGCACGAAAGCGUGGGGAGCAAACAGG
rnacentral:rRNA from 1 species